rnacentral:rRNA from 1 species
UGCGAGCGGUGUCCGGAAUUAUUGGGCGUAAAGGGCUCGUAGGCGGUUUGUUGCGUCGGCUGUGAAAUCCCGAGGCUCAACCUCGGGUCUGCAGUCGAUACGAGCAAACUAGAGUGUUGCAGGGGAGACUGGAAUUCCUGGUGUAGCGGUGAAAUGCGCAGAUAUCAGGAGGAACACCGGUGGCGAAGGCGGGUCUCUGGGCAACAACUGACGCUGAGGCGCGAAAGCGUGGGGAGCAAACAGG